CGGACGGGUGAGUAACACGUGGGCAACCUGCCCUGCAGAUGGGGAUAACUCCGGGAAACCGGGGCUAAUACCGAAUAAUCGGUUCUUCCGCAUGGAAGAACUCUGAAAGACGGUUUCGGCUGUCACUGCAGGAUGGGCCCGCGGCGCAUUAGCUAGUUGGUGGGAUAACGGCCUACCAAGGCGACGAUGCGUAGCCGACCUGAGAGGGUGAUCGGCCACACUGGGACUGAGACACGGCCCAGACUCCUACGGGAGGCAGCAGUAGGGAAUCUUCCACAAUGGACGAAAGUCUGAUGGAGCAACGCCGCGUGAGCGAAGAAGGUUUUCGGAUCGUAAAGCUCUGUUGCGAGGGAAGAACAAGUACGGGAGUAACUGCCCGUACCUUGACGGUACCUCGUCAGAAAGCCACGGCUAACUACGUGCCAGCAGCCGCGGUAAUACGUAGGUGGCAAGCGUUGUCCGGAAUUAUUGGGCGUAAAGCGCGCGCAGGCGGUCCUUUAAGUCUGAUGUGAAAGCCCACGGCUCAACCGUGGAGGGUCAUUGGAAACUGGAGGACUUGAGUACAGAAGAGGAAAGC
rnacentral:rRNA from 1 species